GGUGUCACGGUGUCCUGGAUGACCGACCAUGAGAAGGCGAUGAGCAGCCAGUCCUUGACCACCCCUGCCACGUUCAUGGUCAGCGCCGACGUCUUCCCCACCAGCAGGAACACCGCCAGGUUCAGCGCGAAGGCGCACAGCGAAUUGGUCCCGAAAACGACCACGUCUGGCCGGACGAUCCCGGCCGCGGACGCCGCCUGCAGCCUCGGCAGCUCGACGAACGUCCACGGCACGGUGAGGAAGAGCAGGCAGCAGGGGGCGAUGUAG
rnacentral:rRNA from 1 species